rnacentral:rRNA from 1 species
UACAGAGGGUGCAAGCGUUAAUCGGAUUUACUGGGCGUAAAGCGAGUGUAGGUGGUUUGCUAAGUCAGGUGUGAAAUCCCAGGGCUCAACCCUGGAACUGCAUUUGAUACUGGCAGGCUAGAGUGUAGUAGAGGAUAGUGGAAUUCCCGGUGUAGCGGUGAAAUGCGUAGAUAUCGGGAGGAACAUCAGUGGCGAAGGCGGCUAUCUGGACUAACACUGACACUGAGGCACGAAAGCGUGGGGAGCAAACAGG